rnacentral:lncRNA from 1 species
GCACGUAGGGCCAGGACCAAGCCCUCACAGAGGUGAGGCACCUAGGGCAGGCCUGCUUCGUCAGUCCUCCCCAGCUCUCCUAUCCAGGUGGCUACUCCUCCAGACCCCACCUGCCCCAACAGCUGGAGGGCGAAGCUGCUGCAGGCAUGGGAGGCAGAGGAAUGGUGGAGGAGCUGGGGUGCUGGGCGUGCAGUAGUGCUUGACUGGAAACCGGACGAAGCUGCAGAUGGGAGAGGCACUGCUUGAACACUCCUGCCGCAUCCAUCACUCCGGGCACCUCCUGCAGUGCACACGGUCUCACUUUGAUUUUAAUCCCACCAAUAGCAGGAAGGAGGUGUAAUUUUACAAAGAUAAGAGAAGGUGUGGAAUAUGAGAUCCUGCCAGGAUGGGAAGCCCCAAACAUCUUGGGGAAUAGGAGUGAAGGUGAUGUGAAGAUUAGAAAGAGCACCAGCUUUGCAGCCAGUCGACCUUGCCUUGGAGUCCUAGUUCUACAUCUUAUUAUAAGCAAGUUAACUUAACCACUGUGAGCCUCCAUCUUCUUCUCCUCUGUAAGAUGAAGGAAAAAAUACCUAACAUAAAAAGUUGUGGCAAGGAUUAAAUUAGAAAAAUACACGCACGGUGCAUAGCACAUACAUACAUAGCACAUGUAAAUAACAGACACCAUUGCAUCUGGCACUGAAUGUGAAACUCUGGAGGCAUUGGUCCUUGAGGAUGAAGAUAAAGUGGUAGGUACAACUGUGAUGGCAAAGACAAACAUCCCAACCCACUGCCAGCAGAAAGUGGUGAAAGCUACUUGUGGGAAUAUGUGGAUAAAACCUUUGUUUCCACUUCUUUCCUGGAUGUCUUGAUGAUCCUAAGUACCAGACAGAUACUAGGUAAAAAGCCUUAUACAUCCAAAAAUAAUUUUUUUUUUGUAAAACAAAAUGCUCAAAUGAUGAAUCCAGAAGAUAUAAAAUUCCUCUUUUGCAAGAAGAGUUUAGGCCAUGAAUCUAAAAACUAUUCAAUCAUAGGAUAAAAAAGACUUCCUGAUGACUAAAUGCAGUCAUGGAACACCCCACUUUGGAUUUCUAAUUCAAUUUUAAAACAAUCUUUAAAAUUAUCACAGCAAGUGGGUCAUCCAAUCCUUGGAAUAGCCUACACUGAGAGUAGGGUAGUUUAGCAUAACUCAAAGUGUGUUAUGUCAAAUCAGGGAUAUUAACAGUGUG